rnacentral:rRNA from 1 species
GAUGAACGCUGGCGGCGUGCCUAAUACAUGCAAGUCGAGCGAACAGACGAGGAGCUUGCUCCUCUGACGUUAGCGGCGGAAGGGUGAGUAACACGUGGAUAACCUACCUAUAAGACUGGGAUAACUUCGGGAAACCGGAGCUAAUACCGGAUAAUAUAUUGAACCGCAUGGUUCAAUAGUGAAAGACGGUUUUGCUGUCACUUAUAGAUGGAUCCGCGCCGCAUUAGCUAGUUGGUAAGGUAACGGCUUACCAAGGCAACGAUGCGUAGCCGACCUGAGAGGGUGAUCGGCCACACUGGAACUGAGACACGGUCCAGACUCUUACGGGAGGCAGCAGUAGGGAAUCUUCCGCAAUGGGCGAAAGCCUGACGGAGCAACGCCGCGUGAGUGAUGAAGGUCUUCGGCUCGUAAAACUCUGUUAUUAGGGAAGAACAAAUGUGUAAGUAGCUAUGCACGUCUUGACGGUACCUAAUCAGAAAGCCACGGCUAACUACGUG